rnacentral:rRNA from 1 species
AACGUAUGAGGCGACCGUUAACCGGAGUUACUGGGCGUAAAGAGCGUGUAGGCGGCAUUGUCAGAGGCGUGUGAAAGCACCCGGCUAAACUGGGCGAGUACAGGUCAGACUGCCCCUCUAGAGGAAGAUAGAGGGGUGCGGAAUUCCGGGUGUAGCGGUGAAAUGUGUAGAGAUCCGGAGGAACACCAGGGGUGCAGACGGCGCACUGGGUCGUACCUGACGCUGAGACGCGAAAGCGUGGGGAGCCAACGGG